rnacentral:misc_RNA from 1 species
CCUUCUCAAAAGAUAAUUUUUUAUUUUUUGGUUGUGGGCGAUACUCAGGGUUAGCUUGAAAUUGGAGACUGUUUCAGUCUUUUUUAAUUCAACACUUAGCUUCUUUGGAGACGCUGUUCUCGCUGUGAUGUAUUUAUGGAUUUAUUCGUUUUACUUUACAAGGGAAAUGGUAAUGUACCUUAGGCAAAGGGUUGCUUUUAAUAUUCAUCAA